CCAGGUGAGCAUCUUACAGCCUGGAGCAGCGCCCACACCCCCAGGUGAGCAUCUGACAGCCUGGAGCAGCACCCACACUCCCAGGUGAGUAUCUGACAGCCUGGAGUAGCACCCACACCCCCAGGUGAGCAUCUGACAGCCUGGAACAGCAUCCACUCCCCCAGGUGAGCAUCUGACCACAUUGAAUGGCAUCCUCACCUCCAGGUGAGCAUCUGACAGCCUGGAACCGCACCCACACCCCCAGGCGAGCAUCUGACAGCCUGGAGCAGCACCCACACCCCCAGGUGAGCAUCUGACAGCCUGGAGCAGCACCCACACCCCCAGGGGAGCAUCUGACCGCAUGGAAUGUCAUCCUCACUUCCAGGUGAGCAUCCGACAGCCUGGAGCAGCACCCACACCCCCAGGUGAGCAUCUGACCGCAUGGAAUGGCAUCCUCACCUCCAGGUGAGCAUCCGACAGCCUGGAACAUAAUUCUCCAACCCCAGGUGAGCAUCUGACAGCCUGGAACAGCAUCCACACCCCCAGGUGAGCAUCUGACCGCAUGGAAUGGCAUCCUCACCUCCAGGUGAGAAUCUGACACCAUAAAACAGCACCCUGCACCCCCAGGUGAGCAUCUGACAGCCUGGAACAGCAUCCACACCCCCAGGUGAGCAUCUGACCGCAUGGAAUGGCAUCCUCACCUCCAGGUGAGCAUCCGACAGCCUGGAACAGAAUUCUCCAACCACAGGUGAGGAUCUGACAGCCUGGAACAGAACCCCACUCUUCCAGGUGAGAAUCUGACGCAUAAAACAGCACCCUGCAACCCCAGGUGAGCAUCUGACAGUCUGGAACAGCAUCCACACCCCCAGGCGAGCAUCUGACUGUAUGGAAUGACAUCCUCACAUCCAGGUGAGAAUAUGACAGAAUAAAGCAGCACCCUGCACCCCCAGUUGAGCAUCUGACAGCCUGGAACAGCACCCACACUCCCAGGUGAGCAUCUGACAGCCUGGAGCAGUACCCACACCCCCAGGUGUGCAUCUGACAGCCUGAAACAGCACCCUCCACCACCAGAUGAGCAUCUGACAACCAGAACCUGCACCACACACCCCAAGGUGGGCAUCCGAUGGCAUGGGACAGCACCCCCACUCACAGGUGAUGUGACUGCGUGGAACAGCACAUCCCCUCAGGUGAGCAUCUGACAGGAUAAAACAGCACCCCACAACCCCAGGUGAUCAUUUGCCAGCCAGGAACGGCAACCCACAUCCCCAGGUAAGUGUCUGACAGCCUAGAGCGGCACCUGCACACUUAGGUAAGAAUCUGAAAGCCUGGAUCAACACUCGAAUCUUCAGGUGAGCAUCUGACAGCCUGGAGCAGCAGUGCCCACCCCUGGGUGAGGAUGCUCACCUGAGGUUGGGAGUGCCAGUCCAGGCUGCCAGAUCCUCACCUGGGGAUGGAAGGUGCCAUUGUAGGUUUUUGGAUGUUCACAUGGGGGUUAAGGGUGGUGUUCCGGGUUAUCAGAUGCUCACCUGGGGACGCGUGGAAAACCAUGCCCACCACAAGGUGAGCAUAUGACAGCCCGGAACAACACCCUCCACCCCCAGGUGAGCAUCUGACAGCCUGGAACAGAACCCCACAACUUCAAAUAAGAAUUUGAUAAGUGGGAAAAAGCUCCCCGCCCUCAGGUGAGUGUCUGACAGCCUGGAACAGCACCCCACAACUGCAGGUGAGCAUCUGAUAGCCUGGAUAGGCACUCCACACAGCCAGGUGAGCAGCUGAAAGCCUGGAAUGGUAACCCACAUGCAGGUGAGCAUCCGACAGCCUGGAACAGCAGCUCACAUCCCCAGGUAAGAUUCCAACAGCAUGGAACAAGACCACUGCCCCCAGGUGAACAUCUGAUAGCCUGGAACAGAACCCCAGUUCUCCAAGUAAGGAUCUGAAAGCACGGAACAGCACUCUCACCCCCAGGGGAGCAUCUGACAACCUAGAACAGCACCCUCACCCCGAGGUGGGCAUCUGGCAGCAUAAAACAGCACCCCUACUGGCAGAUGAGCAUAUGACAGCGUGGAACAGCACCCACGCACCCAGGUGAGCAUCUGACAGCCUGGAACAGCACCCCACACCCCCAGGUGAGCAUCUGACAGCCUGGAACAGCACCCACACCCCCAGGUGAGCAUCUGACAGCCUGGAGCAGCACCCUACACCCCCAGGGGAGCAUCUGACAGUCUGGAGCAGCACCCACACCCCCAGGUGAGCAUCUGACAUCCUGGAACAGCACCCCACGCCCCCAGGUGAGCACCUGACAGCCUGGAACAGCACCCCACACCCCCAGGUGAGCAUCUGACAGCCUGGAACAGCACCCACACCCCCAGGUGAGCAUCUGACAGCCUGGAGCAGCACCCCACACCUCCAGGGGAGCAUCUGACAUCCUGGAACAGCACCCCACACCCCCAGUGAGCAUCUGACAACCUGGAGCAGCACCCCACACCUCCAGGGGAGCAUCUGACAUCCUGGAACAGCACCCCACACCUCCAGGGGGAGCAUCUGACAGCCUGGAGCAACACCCCACACCUCCAGGGGAGCAUCUGACAGCCUGGAACAGCACUCCACACCUCCAGGGGAGCAUCUGACAGCAUGGACAAGUCCUGCCCCCCGAACUCCAGCCCUUAAGAAAAUCAGAAGCCCUGGCAGGCACAUUGCCUCUGUGCUGUGCUUUUACCCAGCGAAGCAUCAGGGCAGACAGCCAAUUUCAACACUGCUCUUGGCUGGGAAGUGCCCUCAUCUCUGGCAGCCCCCACAGAGAAAGUGCAGGGCCCCGGGGCUGUGGCUGCCUCAGGGCAGGUCUCCCUUGUGACAGCCUCUUGUCAUGGGCCUGGGAGUGGACCCCUCCCAUCCCUGCCGUGCAUCCUGUUGAGUAGACAGCUCAGGCUAGUACCCAAGAGGGUGGCCAGCAGAUCACAGGGGAUGUCCCUUUUGUCUUAGCUGUUUAUGGGCUGGAGGAACCACUGUUCAGCCACAUCUCCUCUCCUGCCCCUCCUGCAUUCACCCGAGGUUGAUGGGAGCUCUGUGGGGGGAGACAGGCAGGGGAGGGGCCAGGCAACACCUGGGCAUAUCCCCAGGGUGCCUCCUCUGAUCCCCAGGAGGGGCAGCACCCACCCUCUUCUUUUUCCAAUUUGUUUUUAUUGUGGUUAAAUAUACAUAACGUAAAAUUUA
rnacentral:lncRNA from 1 species